rnacentral:rRNA from 1 species
UUUAGUGGCGGACGGGUUAGUAACGCGUGGGAACGUGCCUUUCACUACGGAAUAGUCCCGGGAAACUGGGUUUAAUACCGUAUACGCCCUUCGGGGGAAAGAAUUUCGGUGAAAGAUCGGCCCGCGUUAGAUUAGAUAGUUGGUGGGGUAAUGGCCUACCAAGUCUACGAUCUAUAGCUGGUUUUAGAGGAUGAUCAGCAACACUGGGACUGAGACACGGCCCAGACUCCUACGGGAGGCAGCAGUGGGGAAUCUUGGACAAUGGGCGCAAGCCUGAUCCAGCCAUGCCGCGUGAGUGAUGAAGGCCUUAGGGUCGUAAAGCUCUUUCAACGGUGAAGAUAAUGACGGUAGCCGUAGAAGAAACCCCGGCUAACUCCGUGCCAGCAGCCGCGGUAAUACGGAGGGGGUUAGCGUUGUUCGGAAUUACUGGGCGUAAAGCGCGCGUAGGCGGAUUGGAAAGUAUGGGGUGAAAUCCCAGGGCUCAACCCUGGAACUGCCUCAUAAACUCCCAGUCUUGAGUUCGAGAGAGGUGAGCGGAACUCCGAGUGUAGAGGUGAAAUUCGUAGAUAUUCGGAAGAACACCAGUGGCGAAGGCGGCUCACUGGCUCGAUACUGACGCUGAGGUGCGAAAGUGUGGGGAGCAAACAGGAUUAGAUACCCUGGUAGUCCACACCGUAAACGAUGAAUGCCAGUCGUCGGG